rnacentral:rRNA from 1 species
AGCAAUAUAUGAGACCGGCGCACGGGUGCGUAACGCGUAUGCAACCUACCUUUUACAGGGGAAUAGCCCAGAGAAAUUUGGAUUAAUGCCCCAUGGUAUAUGUAAUUCGCAUGUUUUACAUAUUAAAGUUCCAACGGUAAAAGAUGGGCAUGCGUCCUAUUAGCUAGAUGGUAAGGUAACGGCUUACCAUGGCUACGAUAGGUAGGGGUCCUGAGAGGGAGAUCCCCCACACUGGUACUGAGACACGGACCAGACUCCUACGGGAGGCAGCAGUGAGGAAUAUUGGACAAUGGGCGCAAGCCUGAUCCAGCCAUGCCGCGUGCAGGAAGACGCAUCUAUGGUGUGUAAACUGCUUUUGUACGGGAAGAAACACCCCCUCGUGAGGGGGCUUGACGGUACCGUAAGAAUAAGGAUCGGCUAACUCCGUGCCAGCAGCCGCGGUAAUACGGAGGACCCAAGCGUUAUCCGGAAUCAUUGGGUUUAAAGGGUCCGUAGGCGGUUUGGUAAGUCAGUGGUGAAAGCCCAUCGCUCAACGAUGGAACGGCCAUUGAUACUGCCAGACUUGAAUUAUUGUGAAGUAACUAGAAUAUGUAGUGUAGCGGUGAAAUGCUUAGAUAUUACAUGGAAUACCAAUUGCGAAGGCAGGUUACUAACAAUAUAUUGACGCUGAUGGACGAAAGCGUGGGGAGCGAACAGGAUUAGAUACCCUGGUAGUC